rnacentral:rRNA from 1 species
CCUACGGGUGGCUGCAGUGAGGAAUAUUGGUCAAUGGACGGAAGUCUGAACCAGCCAUGCCGCGUGCAGGAAGACGGCUCUAUGAGUUGUAAACUGCUUUUGUACAAGGGUAAACCUGAAUACGUGUAUUCAGCUGAAAGUACUUUACUAAUAAGGAUCGGCUAACUCCUUGCCAGCAUCCGCGGUAAUACGGGGGAUGCGAGCGUUAUCCGGAUUUAUUGGGUUAAAAGGGUGCGUAGUCGGAUCGUUAAGUCAGUGGUAAAAUUGAGGGGCUCAACCCCUUCCCGCCAUUGAAACUGGAGCUCUUGAGUGGAAGAGAAGUAUGCGGAAUGCGUGGUGUAGCGGUGAAAUGCAGAGAUAUCACGAAGAACCCCGAUUGCGAAGGCAGCAUGCCGGCUUCCGACUGACGCUGAAGCACGAAAGCGUGGGGAUCGAACAGGAUUAGAUACCCCUGUAGUC